GAAGUUCAUUUAAAUUAUUGUAUUUAAGUCUGUGUAAACUAUUAUUUUAAAAACCUGAUGCUUUUCCAUGACUGUAAUCUCACUGUUUGCUAUGUGUAUUUUGUAGUGUGUACUGUGUGCAAAUCCAGUAUCCUACACUUGUAUGCUACAGGCCUUGUUUUGAUCUGACUAACUGUUAAUAUGUUUCAGCUUUAAAGACUAGUAUCUUUUGAAAUUGAAAUUUGCCUCUCAGUCUCUCAAGAAUCAAGAUGCCAAAUAGAUGUGCAGGAUUUGAUUGCUGACAAACCAGGGAUGAGGCUCAAGAGUCAAGAGAUCACCCUGCAUUGGCAAGUGGCUGGAACAACCCCAGUGCCGCACAGUUCUGCGGGAUAUUCCGGCACCUGCUCCACCGCUGCGGCGUCCGGCCCGGCAGCACAGGGAAAGUGGCAGCCCUCGACCCGACCAGCAUCCUGGCAGUCGGUCACACGACCAGCGGACGGGGAGCCAGCCUCACUGCCUCGGCCUCCACCACCUCAGACAACGGUGCCACGGCACUCCACAUCAUCACGGAGCACGACUUCCAGCCUGGGCUGUCGUCUGGUGGGCAACAUCGUCACCUACAUCGCAGGGUUCGUGGUGAAGAAGGCGCUCGACUCUGUCAGCUGUAGCACCUGUCAGGAGGCCCUGGUGAGCGACAUCCAGCCGGACGACAUGACACAGCUUUACCACCUCUUCAUCAUCUCUGCCAGAUGAGCUAAGGUGGGGACGGGUUACAUGCCUGGGAUCUGACUGAGACCCGCUCAUACCCUGCCGAAGUGUUGGUGAUUUCAGCGGUCAGCUGUCUCUAGCCGGUGUCAGUGAGUCGCGGCCAGCUGCCGCUGGAGUGGGUAUAUACCGUCGAUAGCUGCUGUGUGGCGGAUAGCGUGGAUUUGGAUGGACACUUCAUAUUAAUGAACAGAUCAAUGUCUGGCCGAUAAAAGACGUAUUUUGUCGAUGAUUGCUUAGUGACUGAGUGGGUCCACUGGCGACCAAUGCAGUGGGCGCUGGGUUAACGCCUCGCCUCUUGUGACCGUGUCGAUAUGUAGCACUGUUAAUUGCCGAUUCGUUGCCGGCCGUCUCUGCUCCGUGGCUGGCUGAUCCGGCACAAACUGGUGUUCGUGGCUGAAGGCGCGGCUACAGUUACACUAGCUCGCCACGUGCCUGUGCGACUAUCGUCGGUGCUGUCUGCAAGGGCGAUGUCGGUGCCUGUAGGGGGCGCGGAUUGAUUCAAAGUGAGGAAUGGGUCAUCGGAGCUCGGGUCAGGUCAUGUUCGGCUAAAAUAAGCGGAUUUUGCGAUUUGCCGCAUCCGGUUGAAUUUCCUUGCCUUCUAGUGCAUGUUUAUGCAUUUUACAUGCGUUUUUUAGUGUUGUGUGUGUUUUUAGUGUUUUUAGUGUGUGGAUGUCAGACUGUGUCGUCAUUCCCGCGUCCCUUUGUGUCGGGGCGCGGCCCCGCGCGGACUGCGCGUGCGCGGCCUGCGCGCGCGCGCUGACCCGGCGAGUGUCAGUCGGUGUCGGGGACGCGGCCGGGGUGCGGCUCCGCUGGAGUGCAAUAUAGACGUCGGUGCAGGACAUCUGUGUGUCGAGCGGCAGCGCGCGAGAGCAUCACAUGGCGCGGUCUGUUAUCGACCUACUGUGGUGAUCGAGUCGGCAACAAUGAGUCAGGAAGGUGUAGACAAGUUGACGGCUCUGCUCGUCAAGCAGGCCGAGAUGGCCGCAGCCGCCCAGGAGCAGGCGUCUCAACGGGAACAACGUCUCGCGGGGAUGGUCGAGCGACUACUGCAGGAUCGCCCGUCGGAAUCACCCAGGGAGAAGCUAGCCUGAGUGACGUCAUCAAGGCAAUGGAGGAGUACCUUCGGGGGCAGCGAAACGUCAUCGUGGACAGACGGGAUUUCUACCGCCGCAACCAGGAGCCCGGUGAGACGUUUGAUGACUUCCUGUGUGCUAUCAAAGAGAUCGCGGGGUUUUGCGAUUU